GUCAGCUGUUGUUACUAGGCCAAGGAUGGACGGGUGAUAUCGACACCCGGACCAUGAAAAAAGUUUAUAUGUUUUUGUGCAACGUGUAUGUGGCCGUUUCUUUCGGUUUUUUUGCUGUUUGCUGUUGUACGGAGGACUAAGUUAGCAUUCAAAAUUUAAAAAUCAAAUGUACAUUCCUAAGAUGCACUUUUUUACACCUCUAUGUAGCGGUACUUUUUUAGUAUUUGACCAUUAGCUCCGAUGAUGACGUUUAUGUCGAAAGCGCUCAGCUAAGGAAAUAAAAUUAUUUACACACUUUGACAUACUACAUUUUCAUUUUCCCUUAUUCAUUCAAUUGUGUACAAACUUAUCAGUCUUUCAACUAUUAAUAUUAAUUUAGAUAUUAUUUACUAAUUUGUUUCAAAUAUAUCUUAUUGUGUU